rnacentral:rRNA from 1 species
AGCGAACGCUGGCGGCAGGCCUAACACAUGCAAGUCGAACGAACCUUUCGGGGUUAGUGGCGGACGGGUGAGUAACACGUGGGAACGUGCCUUUAGGUUUGGAAUAACUCAGGGAAACUUGUGCUAAUACCGAAUGUGCCCUUCGGGGGAAAGAUUUAUCGCCUUUAGAGCGGCCCGCGUCUGAUUAGCUAGUUGGUUGAGGUAAUGGCUCACCAAGGCGACGAUCAGUAGCUGGUCUGAGAGGAUGAUCAGCCACAUUGGGACUGAGACACGGCCCAAACUCCUACGGGAGGCAGCAGUGGGGAAUCUUGCGCAAUGGGCGAAAGCCUGACGCAGCCAUGCCGCGUGAAUGAUGAAGGUCUUAGGAUUGUAAAAUUCUUUCACCGGGGACGAUAAUGACGGUACCCGGAGAAGAAGCCCCGGCUAACUUCGUG